UGGAGCAAUUGUUAGUUCACCAUUGUGACCUAUGGAAUGGAGAGGUGCCAGGGGCAGGGAGCUGGAGAAUGAUGAGUUUGAAAUUCUUGCCUGGGGCCAUAUGGAGAGGAUUUUCCAGAAGGAAAUUUAUAUACUGUUCUGUUUCUAUUCAGUGGUCAAUUAAGAAGAGAUGG